rnacentral:rRNA from 1 species
CCUACGGGAGGCUGCAGUGGGGAAUAUUGCACAAUGGGGGAAACCCUGAUGCAGCGACGCCGCGUGAGUGAAGAAGUAAUUCGUUAUGUAAAGCUCUAUCAGCAGGGAAGAAAAUAACGGUGCCUGAGUAAGAAUCCCCGGCUAACUACGUGCCAGCAGCCGCGGUAAUACGUAGGUGGCAAGCGUUAUCCGGAUUUACUGGGUGUAAAGGGAGCGUAGACGGCAGUGCAAGUCUGGAGUGAAAGGCGAGGGCUCAACCCCCGGACUGCUCUUGAAACUGUACGGCUGGAGUGCAGGAGAGGUAAGUGGAAUUCCGAGUGUAGCGGUGAAAUGCGUAGAUAUUCGGAGGAACACCAGUGGCGAAGGCGGAUUACUGGACUGUAACUGACGUUGAGGCGCGAAAGCGUGGGGAGUAAACAGGAUUAGAUACCCCGGUAGUC